rnacentral:lncRNA from 1 species
UGAUCACAACCAACUAGCCUCUCCACACAAAGCCUCUGAUCACAAGCAACCAGCCUCUCCACACAAAGCCUCUGAUCACAGGCAACUAGCCUCUCUUCAGUGUUCAUCUUGUUCCAGAUUCUCUAAGGCAUUGUAAUACACUUCACGAGGGAAAUGGAUGCUAAGAGGUAGAGUUCCUUGCCUUUCAAAUCUUGCUUUGUUCGCAUGCGGAAUUUUGUAAGCAUUUCCUCAUGCAUGAUUCAUUAUUUGCACCAUACAUGUUUGAAGUGUGAGGAAGAUUCUAUUGAGCUUUCCAACUUCAUAGUCAUCAAAUUCUUCCUGGACCCCUUGAAUUAGCUCCGGAAUGGUGGUAGGGGCUCUGCAGUCCGUUAGAGACUCGAGGGAUCUGAAGUAACCAAGGUCAAGAGCGUUCAAGUCGGGAGAAUUUGGGGGCUGUUGCAUCAGUUUGAUGUCCAUACCGGUCUCAACCACUGCUUGUGCGAACUCAGCAUCAUUAGGCAGAAUGUGUGUCCUUGCGUUGUCCUGUUGGAUGAAGACUGUUUGUCCAACAUCUUCUACAGGCCACACAUUUUUUAUCGCCAGAACAACUUUCUCAAUCAUGUAUUGUCUCAUGACUACUCUGUUGACUAUGAGCGACUUGAUCUCUAGGACUCCUCGUUCUCUAUUUCCACUCCUUCUUUGAGCUGCAACUUCCAUGACGAAAGGCCAAACCCCAAUCUUUCCUGAGAAAGUGACAUUCCCGUCAGCGUCGUAUCUGGGCCUGGCAACUACUGUGAGAAACAUCACUUUUCCGAUCUUGUUUGGAACUGGUCUUACCGGGUCUUCUUCAUCCGGCAAUAGGUAGUAGUUUCUAUCCCUUUUAGUCAUAAGGAACCACUUUUCAUCAAUAUGCACAAUAUUGUGCAUACUAUUGAAGCUAAUUCUUUCAUUCCCUAGGGUUCUUUGGUCAAGCAUAGACAUGCAGAAUUGAACCCUUUCUCCCUUAUUCUUCUCUUUCGAAGGGGGCUUCACCCUGUUGGAGUGCCUCCUUAUCUUUUUAAGCUGGAACGUCCUGUGUAGCGUGGUCCGACUGACACCCAGUGCAACAGCAAGUGAUCUUAUGCUUGACCUUCUGUUUAGUGGAACUGUGGGGAUUUGUGAUAGAAAGCCAUCAGCCGCUUUUCUGCCAACUUUUCCUUUUUUCUGGCUUGACACCUUCACCUCCUGACCAAGAGCAAUCUAUUUCUUUGUUGUCCUCCAAAUUUUCCGAAUAAGUUGGAUGUGUACAUCAAACAAUGCAGCCACAUCCUUCUUAUCCUUCCCUUUCAAGUCCCCACCCCUUUUCAUACUUAGGGCUUGCAUAGCCAUGUAAGUAGCAUAUCUCUUCUCAUCUGUUAGUGAUUUUCUUUGCCUCUUUAUUUGCUCAACACCUACUGUAUCAAUGCAACAAGAAAAUGCACCUAUGUGAAUAUAAAUUCAGCAAAAAUGCACGUAACUGCUUAUAAAAGUACCUAGGUGCAUAAAAACUCAUGCACCUAGGUGCGUUUAAAUUCAGCAAAAUGCUUUUACAAGCAUUUGGCUGAAUUUAAAUGCACCUAGGUGCACAAAAACUAAGCUAAGUGCUUGCAAAAGCAUUUAACUGAAUUUUUAUGUUAGCUGAAUUCAAAUUCAGUUAACAUGAAGUAUACCUCCUGCUUCUACUUGUGCUAGUUCUUCAUCUUGCAUAUUCACAUUUUCAUCUUGCAUAUUAGCAUCUUCUUCUUCUUGUCCGGGUGGAGUGCAGUUUAGAUCUGGGAGAACCAUCUUCGGAGAUGUGCUGUAAUCUUUACUCCUAGUACAACAUGAACAGGUGGAGUAGUUGUUAUUGUUAAUAUGCAAAAGCAUAGUAUAUCCUUUGUUCAUGAAAUGAAUAUGCAAAAUUUCCAAUCAUUGUGUCAUGAAAUGAAUAUGCAAGAGUACUAGAUUAUCAAACAUUGUUUUGACAUAAACUGAUCCUACUGUGCAUAAUGGAGUACUCCAGAUCAUGAGCUUUGUUAGCAUAAAUUUAAAUAUUCACAGUAGAUCAUGAGCACUUCAUUACUCUUGGAGCAGUUUUGUUGAUGUCAAAUUCGUGCAAACAAUUCAAGCAGUAUUUCUGUCAAUGUAGCUACUCAUGGAGUAAAUUGUAAUAUUGGUGAUAAUUGCUGUCAAUUAAAUUUCCUGGAGUACACCUUGUCUUUGUAAUCUUCCUACAGCAACAUGAACCAAGCCUCUCUCAUAGGAACAGGAACCUGCUGAUUUCUCUACUGUCAAUUAUUCUUGCUGUCAAUUCUCUCUGUCUUUGUAAUCUUCUUGCUGUCAAUUUUCUCUCUUCUCUGUUGAUGUUGCUACUGGAGCCGGAGCUACUCUCCUUCCCUGUAAUCUUCUUGUUGUCAAUUUAAUCUACUCUCCUUCCAUGUAAGCUUCUUGCUGUCAAUUUAAUCUUCUCUGCUUCACUGUAAUCUUCUGGUGACCUUCCCUGUAAUCUUCUCUACUGAUUUCUCUUGAAUUUGCUGCAGCCCGGAACGCAGCGAGCAACAAGAUGCGCUAGGUGUGGAGGAGCUGGGGGCCUGGGCGAGGAGGUGCCCAGGGGCGGGAGCGGCGAGGUGCCCAGGGGCGGGAGCGGCGAGAUGCCCGGGGCUGGAGCGGGAGGUGCCCAGGCGCUGGAGCUUUUCCUCGCCUAGGAGUAGGAGGAUUUUGAAUUUGAAAUCCUCCGCAGCUUAGUGGGAUCGCAGGGAAGGUGAUCACAGGGACGACGAUAGCAGGGGUAGAAAUGACUUUUUGUCACAUAUCGAUGCUGUCGGAAUUCUGGAAAACGCUCUUAUAAUUCGGGAUGGAGGGAGUACUUCUAAUUUUAUUCCUACAAAGCAGUUUUAUUACUUGUUUCUAGGUAGAGCAAGAGUUGGGGUGCGUAGAGUUGUAAGAGAAUAUAAAUCUUACCUUUAGCUCCUCGUUGGGUUCGAAACUCUUAUUUAUCGAAAAAGACUCUACGCCGUUGCGGGGGAACAAUAGCGUGGGAUGAAUAUUCUCGUGUGCGCUUGUUGGCUUUAUCUCUAAAUAUAUUUUGUUUUCUGUUCUAUGUUGUUUUAUAUCUUUAUCAUGAAUAUGAAACACGAAAUACCAACAAAAAUUAGUUGUACU